UGUCUAGCCUUGUUCAUAGCAAGCCGGCGGAACGUGUGGUUCCGGCGGCGGCCCGUAAGGCCUCCCCGGUUAGGGUUGGGGUAUAUAAAGAUUCUGUUUUUUGUGGUGUUAGUCCUUUAGGUGUUUAUGUUGAUGAUGCUGUGAAGGAAAAGAUUUGGUCCAACCAGUAUGUUGAUUUGUGGUCGCUAGUGUCUGCGGACCAACAUACGAUUGACAAGGAACGUAGGCCCCAGUCGGAAAAAACUUUUCCUACUAGGCCGAAGGUGGCGAAGACCAUGGGCAAUUGGUUGCAAGCGUUUGCAGUUUUGGGGUGUAUUAUGGGUGAAAAGCAUCCGGAGCGAUGCUCCGAGCUUUUUAUUUAUAUGGACUCGGUGUAUAGUGCUUAUAAGGCUCAUGGGGGCUCUGCGUGGUGGCGGUAUGACGAGGAAUUUCGACGCCGCUUGUCUCUGCAGCCGGAUGUUGGUUGGGGUGUUAAGGCGACCGACGUGUGGUUGCGUUUGAUGAUGGCGCAGAAGGCACAGCCCUUUCAGCAGGGAGCCGCUGGUCAAUCCGGGGCCACCGGGCCGGCGGCCGUGCGUCGACCCGGGGCUUGCUGGUUAUUUAACGAGGGACAUUGUCGUUUCCUCAGCUUGUGUAAAUACAAGCAUGAGUGUUCUGCCUGUGGGGGGUCCCACGCCGCAGUCAGGUGUCAGCGGGCUGCUAAGCAGACCGGCCGGGCGCCCUCUGCUGCUGCAGGGAAGGACCCCGGUGAACGUGGACAUGAUGUGCCCGUGGUUAGACCAGUACCCCAAUAAGGAGGACGCUUUGGUUUUAUUGGAGGGUUUUCGUUAUGGUUUCUUUAUACCUUUUAUUUUGGGUCAGGUUUCUUCCUCCUACCCUGACAACUUGAAAUCGGCCAGGGAGUACCCUGAGGUGCUGCGGGAAAAAAUUGGUAAGGAGGUUUCUUUGGGUCGUUUUGAAGGACCUUUUAGUUCCCCCCCUUUUCAUAAUUUGCGGGUUUCCCCCCUUGGGGUUGUCCCGAAGAAAGAGGUCGGGAAGUUUCGCCUGAUUCACCACCUUUCGUAUCCGAAAGGUUCUUCAGUGAAUGAUGGCAUUUCUAGAGAGGAUGCAACGGUUUCUUAUGUUUCGUUUGACCGGGCUGUGGCUCUGGUAAGGGGUUUUGGGGCGGGGGCGUUGAUGGCGAAGUCUGACAUUGAAUCGGCUUUUCGCCUGUUGCCGGUGCAUCCGGAAUGCUAUCACUUACUGGGUUGCCGGGUGGAUGGGGCUUUUUAUUAUGAUGUUUGCCUGCCGAUGGGUUGUGCUAUUUCUUGUCGGUAUUUUGAAAUGUUUGGAUCAUUUUUGGAGUGGGUUGUUCGCUUUGAGACGGGCAGCCGUUCGGUUAUUCACUAUUUGGAUGAUUUCUUGUUUGUUGGCCCGGCUGGGUCUCCCAGGUGUGGUUUUUUGUUGGAUUCUUUUCGUUUUUUCAUGCUGAAGUUUGGGGUGCCCUUGUCCGCUGAGAAGACAGAGGGCCCUUCAACGGUUAUUUCGUUUUUGGGCAUAGAAAUUGAUUCUGUGGCCAUGGUUUUUAGACUACCAACAGAGAAAUUGGAGAGUUUGCUCUUGUUGGUUGAAAGUUUUUGUGGUGUACGGAAGGUGACGCUGCGCCAAUUGCAGGUUUUGCUGGGACACUUGGUUUUUGCUUGCCGUGUUAUGCCCAUGGGGCGUGUUUUUUCUAGGCGUUUGUCAUUGGCCACCAAGGGCGUUUCCUGCCCUUCUCAUCAUAUUCGCAUUUCAAAGCAAAUGCGCGCGGAUGUUUUGAUGUGGAGAGAAUUUUUGAGAAGGUACAAUGGUCACACGUGUUGGUUGGGGGAUGAGUUGUCCAAUGUUGAGCUUCAAUUGUUUACGGAUGCGGCUGGCUCCGUGGGUUUUGGUGCCUUCUUUCAAGGGGAAUGGUGUGCGGAGUUGUGGCCGCCUGAUUGGCAGACUAACGGUUGGUGUAGGAACCUCACCCUGCUUGAAUUGUUUCCUAUUAUAGUUGCUGUGGAGUUGUGGGGUGUACGAUUUAGCAAUAAGCGGGUUUGUUUUUGGACAGAUAAUCUGAGUGUGGUUCAUUGUAUAAAUGGUUUGUCCUCUUCCUCCCUUCCGGUUUUGUCUUUGAUCCGUCAUUUAGUUCUUCGGUGUUUGGAGUUGAACGUUUGGUUUAAAGCUCGCCACGUAGCUGGGGUUGAUAACGUGAUUGCUGAUUCCCUUUCUCGUUUUCAGUUUCAGGAUUUUCGGAGGAUGUGUCCGGAUGCUGCAUUGGAAGGGCUCCCUUGCCCCCCAUUGGUCUGGGCCCUGCCGAGCAACGUCUGAUCCCACUGGUGGAAUCGUCGAUGGCGGCAUCUACAUGGGCGGGACAUGAUGUGCAAAGGACGAUGGUUUAUUUCCUGGGCCACUCUUAUUUCCACCGGGCCGCGCAGAGAGCUGAUUGCCGGCCGGGUGGGAGAUCGUUGGGAUGCGGCAAUGUUGAGCCUCACUGGAGGGGGAUCCCAGUCACAGCUGGCCUGAGGAGAGGAGAAUUGAGAAGUGAUGGCCCUAGGCACUUUUGCCCGCCGGGAGUCCGGCGGCUGGCAAUACCGCUUCGGCUGAAGUAGGUAGGUUGCUGCAGUGCAGCAGUUAUAGAGUUAAUAUUCUGUUAUUUAAUAAAUUGAGCUGUGACCACCACCCAGCCCAGUAAAAAGAAUAAUGUUGUCUGUCAUUAUUGGGAGAGGUGG